AGUGAACGCUGGCGGUAGGCCUAACACAUGCAAGUCGAACGGCAGCACAGUAAGAGCUUGCUCUUACGGGUGGCGAGUGGCGGACGGGUGAGGAAUACAUCGGAAUCUACUUUUUCGUGGGGGAUAACGUAGGGAAACUUACGCUAAUACCGCAUACGACCUACGGGUGAAAGCAGGGGAUCUUCGGACCUUGCGCGAUUGAAUGAGCCGAUGUCGAAUUAGCUAGUUGGCGGGGUAAAGGCCCACCAAGGCGACGAUCCGUAGCUGGUCUGAGAGGAUGAUCAGCCGCACUGGAACUGAGACACGGUCCAGACUCCUACGGGAGGCAGCAGUGGGGAAUAUUGGACAAUGGGCGCAAGCCUGAUCCAGCCAUACCGCGUGGGUGAAGAAGGCCUUCGGGUUGUAAAGCCCUUUUGUUGGGAAAGAAAAGCAGCAGGUUAAUACCCCGCUGUUCUGACGGUACCCAAAGAAUAAGCACCGGCUAACUUCGUG
rnacentral:rRNA from 1 species